AACGUAACCUUGUUCUGGGACCUAAAGGAAACAGAGAUAAGAAAGUCGGAUGGAUGAAGGAUCAAACCCACCAGGACCUCAGAGGGUGGCACCUGGACCUGUGCAGAUCUGCACACUGAAGCCUGUCUGUCACAGGUAGAGAAAUGCAGAACCGGGGUUUAGAAACUUUUGUAACAAUUUUAAAAUACCACGACAUCCAAGCGCCUGAUCGUUGGACUCUUUGAACCGAGUAUACACCAGUUCGGGUGUUGUCAGACUGCAUGGUGAGUCAUAUACCUGGCACAGCAGGGAUCGCCUAUUGGUUCCUAGCAGAGCGUUGACAAAAAUGACUGGUUCUUCACCACAAGUAGUUUGAAACGCGCUCUCUGGGAUUUGCCAACUCAUGCUUUAAAACUCAAGCCAGAAAGUCACAUCUUCCAGAGGAAGCCUCCCCGGAGAUGCCAAGCCACUCACCCUGCUUCCGGCUCCACCGAGACAUGGGUGUGGCUUAUUUCUAAGACUAUUGAAGAAACUACAUCAUAUUAUAAGGGGCUUUUUAUUGCUGUCCUACCCAUCUUCAGUUGGGAAAAUGGAAGCUCCUUAAGAAAGGGAACUGCGCUUUAAAAUUUGCAUCCCCUGUCUUUCUCAAAGAGUGAAUGAACCCUUGUGUGAAACUCCAAGCAUGUUUAUAACCCUUCUCAGAGCAGUUCUCCAGCAUUAAUAUUUAUCCAGCCCACCCCCUGUGGGAAACGUCAUGGUAUAAAUUUGUGAUAGUGCACUAGGCUGUUGCCCUGUUUCAUAGGUUUAGAGACGCUUAGGCCAAUAAAGACCGUGUCCCAGAUUGAAGAUCGAGCCAGGAUAAACAACAGCAAUCCCAGGCACCAAAGUGCUUAGUCAAAUGAGUCCUACUGCCACCUGUGUUCAAGUAUGGGAGCAGAACAAUUACAGUCAUUAUGGUAUUAUUAAUCUGUACAGAACAUCUUCCAAGAGAAAUUACCAGGCAGCUUGUUCAAGUGGGUGUGUGGGUGGGGCGUGGAUCCCAGCAGCAGCCCAGGCACUGAGUAAUGUAUUGGGCAGUCUUGGCCAAGACACUUUCCAAUAUUGGCUCAUCAAUUGUAACAACUUACCACACUAAUACAACAUGUUAGUAAUAGAGGAAGCUAGGGAGAGGGGCAGUGAGGGAGUAGAUGGACACAUUCCCCUCCAUUUUUAUGUAAACCUAAAACUGCUCUAAAAAUAGAGUCUAAGUUUUUAAAAGUCA